ensembl:antisense Gm28857 predicted gene 28857
ACUUGGUAUAAAACCACAGAACGCUGGCUUCUCAGGAAGCCUCUUCUUGAGUCUGGCUAGGAGAGCACAGGGCUCCCUUUUCUGCCUGGGAAAUGUUUAGGAGACUCUGGUCUUCCGAGUGCUGCUUCCCUGACAGACUCUUACCCUGGGGAGCCUGUUGGGUGGCGGUGGGUAGGGCUCGGAAACUCCGAGGACUGGUGGCUGGCUCUGACUCGUCUGUGGAGAGCCCACUGUCAGCCUCAGCCUCCAGGGAGCCAAUGGUUUUCUCCAGGAAGAGCAGACACUCCUUUUCUUCAGCAGACAGGAAGUCGUAGCUGCUGUCACUCUGUUGGGAGAAGCAGCUAUGAGAUGACCCAAUGGAGCAUGACUACUCUUACUGAUGUCUUCCAGUCAGAAACAGGAUGACGUCUCUGUGUCCCCAAUCU